rnacentral:rRNA from 1 species
UAUUGGACAAUGGGCGCAAGCCUGAUCCAGCAAUACCGCGUGUGUGAAGAAGGCCUUAGGGUCGUAAAGCACUUUCAAUUGGGAGGAAAACCUGCCGGUCAAUACCCGGUAGCUUGACAUUACCUUUAGAAGAAGCACCGGCUAACUCCGUGCCAGCAGCCGCGGUAAUACGGAGGGUGCGAGCGUUAAUCGGAAUUACUGGGCGUAAAGCGUGCGUAGGCGGUUCGUUAAGUCAGAUGUGAAAGCCCUGGGCUCAACCUGGGAACUGCAUUUGAAACUGGCGGACUAGAGUUUAGUAGAGGGGAGUGGAAUUUCAGGUGUAGCGGUGAAAUGCGUAGAUAUUUGAAGGAACACCAGUGGCGAAGGCGACUCCCUGGACUAGAACUGACGCUGAGUACGAAA